GACGAACGCUGGCGGCGUGCUUAACACAUGCAAGUCGAACGGAAAGGCCCUGCUUUUGUGGUGUGCUCGAGUGGCGAACGGGUGAGUAACACGUGAGUAACCUGCCCUUGACUUUGGGAUAACUUCAGGAAACUGGGGCUAAUACCGGAUAGGAGCUCCUGCUGCAUGGUGGGGGUUGGAAAGUUUCUGCGGUUGGGGCUGGACUCGCGGCUUAUCAGCUUGUUGGUGGUGUAGUGGCUUACCAAGGCCUUGACGGGUAGCCGGCCUGAGAGGGUGACCGGCCACAGUGGGACUACGAUACGGCCCAGACUGCUACGGGAGACAACGGGGGGGAAUAUUGCACAAUGGGCGGAAGCCUGAUGCAGCAACGCCGCGUGCGGGAUGACGGCCUUCGGGUUGUAAACCGCUUUCGCCUGUGACGAAGCGUGAGUGACGGUAAUGGGUAAAGAAGCACCGGCUAACUACGUG
rnacentral:rRNA from 1 species